AUUGCCAAUCAGAACAGGGUCCAACGAAUUGAUAAUCCAUCCCUUGACAAUGGCAUUCUCAGUUCGCCAUUUUCGGAAGGAGGGAUCAGUUGGUAGGGGUGGAGGUGUAUCUCCAUUAAUGUAACCCAGUUUAUCUUUCCCGGAAAUAUACAUUUCCAUAACCUGGGACCAUAGGCCAUAGUUUGUAUCAUUCAGUUUGAUACCAAUCUGGGGCGAAUUUUCAGUGAGUGGGGCUGAUAUGUGUG
rnacentral:lncRNA from 1 species